rnacentral:rRNA from 1 species
GGCGUGCCUAAUACAUGCAAGUCGAACGCAUUGUGGUUGAAAUGAUAUGAAGAACUUGUUCAGAUUUGAUUUUCAACAUUGCAAUGAGUGGCGAACGGGUGAGUAACACGUGGGAAACCUACCUCUUAGCAGGGGAUAACAUUUGGAAACAAAUGCUAAUACCGUAUAAUAAUUAAAACCGCAUGGUUUUAGUUUAAAAGAUGGUCUUGCUAUCACUAAGAGAUGGUCCCGCGGUGUAUUAGUUAGUUGGUGAGGUAAUGGCUCACCAAGACAAUGAUACAUAGCCGAGUUGAGAGACUGACCGGCCACAUUGGGACUGAGACACGGCCCAUACUCCUACGGGAGGCAGCAGUAGGGAAUCUUCCACAAUGGACGAAAGUCUGAUGGAGCAACGCCGCGUGUGUGAUGAAGGGUUUCGGCUCGUAAAACACUGUUGUAAGAGAAGAAUGACAUUGAGAGUAACUGUUCAAUGUGUGACGGUAUCUUACCAGAAAGGAACGGCUAAAUACGUGCCAGCAGCCGCGGUAAUACGUAUGUUCCAAGCGUUAUCCGGAUUUAUUGGGCGUAAAGCGAGCGCAGACGGUUAUUUAAGUCUGAAGUGAAAGCCCUCGGCUCAACCGAGGAAUUGCUUUGGAAACUGGAUAACUUGAGUGCANUAGAGGAAAGUGGAACU